ACGAACGCUGGCGGCGUGCCUAAUCCAUGCAAGUUGAGCGCUGAAGGUUGGUACUUGUACCAACUGGAUGAGCAGCGAACGGGUGAGUAACGCGUGGGGAAUCUGCCUUUGAGCGGGGGACAACAUUUGGAAACGAAUGCUAAUACCGCAUAAAAACUUUAAACACAAGUUUUAAGUUUGAAAGAUGCAAUUGCAUCACUCAAAGAUGAUCCCGCGUUGUAUUAGCUAGUUGGUGAGGUAAAGGCUCACCAAGGCGAUGAUACAUAGCCGACCUGAGAGGGUGAUCGGCCACAUUGGGACUGAGACACGGCCCAAACUCCUACGGGAGGCAGCAGUAGGGAAUCUUCGGCAAUGGACGAAAGUCUGACCGAGCAACGCCGCGUGAGUGAAGAAGGUUUUCGGAUCGUAAAACUCUGUUGGUAGAGAAGAACGUUGGUGAGAGUGGAAAGCUCAUCAAGUGACGGUAACUACCCAGAAAGGGACGGCUAACUACGUG
rnacentral:rRNA from 1 species